UACGUAGGGGGGCAAGCGUUGUCCGGAUUUAUUGGGCGUAAAGAGCGUGUAGGCGGCCAGACAGGUCCGUUGUGAAAACUAGAGGCUUAACCUCUAGACGUCGAUGGAAACCGUCUGGCUAGAGUCCGGAAGAGGAGAAUGGAAUUCCUGGUGUAGCGGUGAAAUGCGCAGAUAUCAGGAAGAACACCCGUGGCUAAGGCGGUUCUCUAGUACGGUACUGACGCUGAGACGCGAAAAGCGUGGGGAGCGAACAGG
rnacentral:rRNA from 1 species